rnacentral:pre_miRNA from 1 species
GCAUGCACCCUAGUGACUUUAGUGGACAUCUAAGUCUUCCAACUAAGGCACGCGGUGAAUGCCA